rnacentral:lncRNA from 1 species
UUUGUCUGUUGCUCAGGAUGGAGUGUAGUGGUGCCAUAGCACACUGUAAUCUUGAAUUUCUGGACUACUGGCAUACACCACCAUGCUUAGGUUCGGGCCACAACAUCCGUGACUUUACCGGUUUUGGUCUCUUCCUUGUAACUUUCGGCUCCAGGAUGCUGCGCAGCUCCUCUCUGCACUAUCUAUCAGAACGUUGCUCUGCGUGCUUGAAAGUUUCGCCAAACAGAAGUACACAAAAACAAACAGAGGCGAAACACAAAUCCCCUCAGCCCUGGAGGAAAAGGCCUUGAAGCUCUUCCAGUGCAGAGGCCACGCAGAGGACAUGCUCCUACCUGUGCACAUCGGCCACGCCUGGGGUGCCUCCUGGA